GGUGAACGCUGGCGGCAUGGAUUAGGCAUGCAAGUCGCACGAGAACCCAAUUAGCUUGCUAAGAGGGGGACAGUGGCGAAAGGGAGAGUAACGCGUGGUUACUUGCCCUCGAGACCGGGAUAGCGUCGGGAAACUGGCAGUAAUACCGGAUAACAUCUACGGAUCAAAUGGUGUGAUUCCGCUCGAGGAUAGGACCGCGUACUAUUAGCUUGUGGGUGAGGUAAUGGCUCACCAAGGCUGCGAUGGUUACCGGGUGUGAGAGCAUGGCCCGGCUCACUGGGACUGAGACACUGCCCAGACAUCUACGGAUGGCUGCAGUCGAGAAUCUUCGGCAAUGGACGAAAGUCUGACCGAGCGAUGCCGCGUGCGGGAUGAAGGCCCUCGGGUUGUAAACCGCUGUCAGUUGUUAGGAAAUGCUAGGGGGUUCUCCCCUUAGUUUGACCGAUCUUCAGAGGAAGGACGGGCUAAGUUCGUGCCAGCCGCCGCGGUAAGAC
rnacentral:rRNA from 1 species